rnacentral:ncRNA from 2 species
AUCAUACGCUCACUUGAUGGUGCCCCCUAUCGGGGGUGAAAAGGGAAGAUCGGUGCAAGGCCGUCGCUGCCCCCGCAACUGUAAGUGUCCAUCGCGUUCCGCUGGAGCCUCUGCUUCAGGGUCAGUCACUGGUUCCUCUCGGGAAUCGGGAAGGCUCGGAACGGUGCCUGAGCAUCGGCCAAUGGUCGGUGCAGGGCUUGGGUGCAAGCCAGGAGACCUGCCAUCGCAAGGAGAUUAAG